rnacentral:rRNA from 1 species
UACGUAGGGGGCAAGCGUUGUCCGGAUUUAUUGGGCGUAAAGAGCGUGUAGGCGGCCAGACAGGUCCGUUGUGAAAACUCGAGGCUCAACCUCGAGAUGUCGAUGGAAACCGUCUGGCUAGAGUCCGGAAGAGGAGUGUGGAAUUCCUGGUGUAGCGGUGAAAUGCGCAGAUAUCAGGAAGAACACCUAUGGCGAAGGCAGCACUCUGGGACGGUACUGACGCUCAGGCACGAAAGCGUGGGGAGCAAACAGG